rnacentral:misc_RNA from 1 species
GAUGAAGAACGCAGCGAAAUGCGAAAAGUAAUGUGAAUUGCAGAAUUCAGUGAAUCAUCGAAUCUUUGAACGCACAUUGCGCCCGCUGGUACUCCGGCGGGCACGCCUGUCCGAGCGUCAUUUCAACCCUCAAGCCCUCCUUCGGGAUGGGCCUGGUGUUGGGGCUCGGCCGCCAUCUCCGGCGGCCGUCCCCUAAAUACAGUGGCGGUCACGUCGCGACUCCUUUGCGUAGUAGAAACACCUCGCUCCGGAUAGCAACGCGGUCCACGCCGUAAAACCCCCAAUUUUCAAUGGUUGACCUCGGAUCAGGUGGGAAUACCCGCUGAACUUAAGCAUAUCAAUAAGCGGAGGC